rnacentral:rRNA from 1 species
CCUACGGGUGGCAGCAGUGGGGAAUAUUGCACAAUGGAGGCAACUCUGCUCCAGCAACGCCGCGUGAGUGAUGAAGGUCUUCGGAUUGUAAAGUUCUGUCAUGGGGGAUGAACACAAUGACGGUACCCCAAUAACAAGCCACGGCUAACUACGUGCCAGCAGCCGCGGUAAUACGUAGGUGGCAAGCGUUAUCCGGAAUGACUGGGCGUAAAGGGGGCGUAGGUGGGUUAGUAAGUUGGAGGUGAAAUUCCGGGGCGCAACCUCGGCGCUACCGCCAAAACUAUUAGACUAGAGUGCAGGAGGGGUAAGUGGAAUUCCUAGUGUAGCGGUGGAAUGCGUAGAUAUUAGGAGGAACACCAGGGGCGAAGGCGACUUACUGGACUGUAACUGACGCUGAGGCACGAAAGCGUGGGGAGCAAACAGGAUUAGAUACCCGUGUAGUC